GAUGAACGCUGGCGGCGUGCCUAAUACAUGCAAGUCGAGCGAACGGACGAGAAGCUUGCUUCUCUGAUGUUAGCGGCGGACGGGUGAGUAACACGUGGAUAACCUACCUAUAAGACUGGGAUAACUUCGGGAAACUGGAGCUAAUACCGGAUAAUAUUUUGAACCGCAUGGUUCAAAAGUGAAAGACGGUCUUGCUGUCACUUAUAGAUGGAUCCGCGCUGCAUUAGCUAGUUGGUAAGGUAACGGCUUACCAAGGCAACGAUGCAUAGCCGACCUGAGAGGGUGAUCGGCCACACUGGAACUGAGACACGGUCCAGACUCCUACGGGAGGCAGCAGUAGGGAAUCUUCCGCAAUGGGCGAAAGCCUGACGGAGCAACGCCGCGUGAGUGAUGAAGGUCUUCGGAUCGUAAAACUCUGUUAUUAGGGAAGAACAUAUGUGUAAGUAACUGUGCACAUCUUGACGGUACCUAAUCAGAAAGCCACGGCUAACUACGUGCCAGCAGCCGCGGUAAUACGUAGGUGGCAAGCGUUAUCCGGAAUUAUUGGGCGUAAAGCGCGCGUAGGCGGUUUUUUAAGUCUGAUGUGAAAGCCCACGGCUCAACCGUGGAGGGUCAUUGGAAACUGGAAAACUUAAGUGCAGAAGAGGAAAGUGGAAUUCCAUGUGUAGCGGUGAAAUGCGCAGAGAUAUGGAGGAACACCAGUGGCGAAGGCGACUUUCUGGUCUGUAACUGACGCUGAUGUGCGAAAGCGUGGGGAUCAAACAGGAUUAGAUACCCUGGUAGUCCACGCCGUAAACGAUGAGUGCUAAGUGUUAGGGGGUUUCCGCCCCUUAGUGCUGCAGCUAACGCAUUAAGCACUCCGCCUGGGGAGUACGACCGCAAGGUUGAAACUCAAAGGAAUUGACGGGGACCCGCACAAGCGGUGGAGCAUGUGGUUUAAUUCGAAGCAACGCGAAGAACCUUACCAAAUCUUGACAUCCUUUGACAACUCUAGAGAUAGAGCCUUCCCCUUCGGGGGGCAGAGUGACAGGUGGUGCAUGGUUGUCGUCAGCUCGUGUCGUGAGAUGUUGGGUUAAGUCCCGCAACGAGCGCAACCCUUAAGCUUAGUUGCCAUCAUUAAGUUGGGCACUCUAAGUUGACUGCCGGUGACAAACCGGAGGAAGGUGGGGAUGACGUCAAAUCAUCAUGCCCCUUAUGAUUUGGGCUACGCACGUGCUACAAUGGACAAUACAAAGGGCAGCGAAACCGCGAGGUCAAGCAAAUCCCAUAAAGUUGUUCUCAGUUCGGAUUGUAGUCUGCAACUCGACUACAUGAAGCUGGAAUCGCUAGUAAUCGUAGAUCAGCAUGCUACGGUGAAUACGUUCCCGGGUCU
rnacentral:rRNA from 1 species